ACAAGCAGUAACAUGAUUUUAUCAAGGAAAAUAUCAUAUUCUUACAUCAUACUUACGAAGAAAAACAGACUACAACUACAAGAUAAUACAACCGAGUGCUGCUGCAGGUCGCCCAACCAUCUUUUCUUUGUUCUCGCAACAGCAACCAGCUUUUCCUCAGGGACCCUCGUUGGUCCACUUAGCAGUAAAACAAACUCUGUUAUCGCCGUACCACUUCUCAGAUUAGACGACGUGAUGACCCAUACAGAAUACUAACAGAAGUUACAAUGUUGAUAUGAAGUCCAUCAAAAGGAUUUUUCUUCUCAAGAAAAAAACCCCUUCCCUCCACCCCCCUCUCAUUUUCGCUACACUUAGAUACAUGUUAGAUCGAUUACAUUCUUUGCGCGGUGGCUUUUUCGAUAACAUGCCUUGUUGACGAGUCGAGCCAACGGGGCGUUCAAGGACGCCUGCAUGAAUUGACCGGAUUUUCCCGGGCCUCGCGCGAAAAAGCGCGGCGUUCCUGCUCGUCGGUCCUCUUCCGUCGGCUGAAUCUACAAAGCGAACGUCUGCAACCGUUCCAACCAGCGGCGGCCAGGCGGCCAUAGCCUGCGUGCCCAGGUCUCACAUGUCGUGUCUGCAUCAUGCAUAAUGAUACGACAUGGUUGUCCAGCGAAACCCAUGGUGUACACGAAACGAUACCGAAACGACAUGGAUAAUGUUAUGACUGGUUAUGUUUUCAGUUUUGUCUCUAUGUUUCUAUUCAAACUUAAAGUAAAAGAUUGUGUUUGGUACAGCGACCUGUUAUGUUUUAUCUCGAUAUGGUGUGUAUGUGUGUGUGUGUGUCGUGUGUGUGUGUGUGUGUGUGUGUGUGUGUGUGUGUGUGUGUGUGUGUGUGUGUGUGUGUGUGUGUUGCUCUAUAUCAUUUCGGCAUAUUAUAUUUGUAUACUAUACGUAUCACUUUCAGCUGGUUCUUCAUUUUACUUCAUGGUAUUGUGUCUUUUCUUUCCUUCUAGGUUUUCCCCCACCUUUUCCUUUCAUUUCGAUAAAACAGCCGUAAUAUCAUGUCGGUGCGUGCCCCACUUAAACAAUAAUAUAAAACAUUGAUUGGACGUGUUAAAUCCUAGGUUACAUUAUGAUUACUUGUGAUGCAUGUGAUACAAGUUACCAGUGAAAAUCAAAGGCGCAUGCUGUCGUUUUCUACUUUUCUAGUAUAUAAAACAACUUGUUUCUGUUAUAACUUAUACAAUGUAUAGUUUAUACAUGUAGUAAGACAAUGGGAGCUAAUUUUUUAAAAGCGAAUUUCGGGUAGUCUGUUUUAUCGAGUACUAUAUCUUAACUAAUUUGUCUUGAUCUGUCGACCUGCAUAUCCUCUCAGCCUGGGUAGGCACUAACAGGCUAGGUCAAAGCAGCCCACCUCUUAUUCAAUUGUCUGAAUUAAAUUAUCUUAAAAUUGAGUCGAUUUGGGGCUUAUAACACCUUAAUAACCAUUUCAACAAUCUCUGGUAACAGCUUUUUCUUGUUGUAGUAGAAGAUCAGAUAUAUAAUAAGCUUAUGUCUAAGACAGCCACCCAUUGUCGUGGAGAAGAGUAGUUGUCUUUGACAGGUGGCCUUCUUACACAGUAUCAUUGCAA